rnacentral:rRNA from 1 species
UUUUUUAAUUGAAAACUAGAAUGAAUGGUUUAAUGAGAUAUUAGCUGUUUCAUAAAAAUUUUAUUAAAAAUUAAUUUUUUAGUUAAAAAGCUAAAAUAAAAUUUAAAGACGAGAAGACCCUAUAGAUUUUUAUAUAUAUAUUAUUAUUAUUUAUUUAUAAUUUUUAAAAUUUUAGUAUAAUUUGUAUUUUGUUGGGGUGACAGUAAAAUUUUUUUAUCUUUUAUUAUAAAAAUUAACAAUGAUUUUUGGUUAAAUUGAUCCUAUUUUAUAGAUUAUAAGAUUAAAUUACCUUAGGGAUAACAGCGUAAUUGUUUUGAAGAGUUCUUAUCGAUAAAAAAAUUUGC